UCUGGUGUUUUGGAGACUUUCUGGUGUUUUGGAGACUUUCUGGUGUUUUUGGAGAUUUUGGAGACUUUCUGGUGUUUUGGAGACUUUCUGGUGUUUGGAGACUCUGACGUGAAGUCGUAUCGUUCUGCAGUUACUGUCUCAACGAGCAGCGGGUGCUGCCGUGAACCCUCCGCCGUCCUGAAGCUCUCACAGGCGGUCAGUGUCACAGUAGCCUCGCGCAGCAGCUGCAGCCAGAGCAGAGAGGAGACCCGCACUCUCCGCGUCCAGACGGCAAAUGAAUCGCGCAUGCGCACAGCCGACGCUGAUAUGAAAAUAAAAUAUUUUCUUUGACACAAUGUGGCAAAACAAGGAGGACGAGAAGCUUCGAUGGCCUGGCAGGGACAAAUGACAUAACAACCAUUGACCGCUCUUUCUUCCUUUGUGUGCCAAAAUUACAAAUCCUGCCAGAGCUGUGUGUCACACACCAACACAGAAACGAAACCUACCAGACUCAUCAGAUGAUUUCUCAGAAACAGUACAGAGGGAUGUGCUGUUUGUGCCCAGUGGAGGAGCUCUAACACUGUUACUGAGUCCUGAAAAGGCAACUAUCAUUAAUGCCACUGGCCUACAUUCAUAGCUGCACUUUAAACCUGGCUUAGUUUGGUGAUCUACCUCAUAUAUGAGGAAUAGAAACAGAGACAUAAGAAAGUUGUUAAUCAAGUUGCAUUCUGGGUUCAAUGUGAGUCACUGCCUCUGCCUGUUCGACGAUGAUUUAAUUGUUUUAAUAUGUUAUCUGGAGACUUUCAUUCCUGUGUUUAUAAAACAAUUAAAAGCCCCAAAUUAAAACACAUGUCUUCUUAUAUUCUUGAUCUACUGUAAAAUAAUAAAGCAUGUGAGUAAAGUGUAAUGGAAAAAUGCUGCAUUGCUUAAAUUCCUUUACUGUUUUUGUAUUUCCCCUGUCCUCUUUUAACAUAUGGUACGGGCUGAGGGACCUUUUU